rnacentral:rRNA from 1 species
GAUGAACGCUGACAGAAUGCUUAACACAUGCAAGUCGAUGGGGAAGUGGUGCUUGCACCAUGGCAACCAUGGCGGACGGGUGAGUAACGCGUAAGGGACUUACCUGCAGGACUGGGAUAACAGGGGGAAACUCCUGACAAGACCGGAUAAUGUCAUGGAGCUGCAUGGCUUUAUGAUGAAAGGAGACGCCUGCGGAGAGCCUUGCGUCCUAUUAGCUAGUUGGUGAGGUAAUGGCUCACCAAGGCGAAGAUAGGUAGCCGGCCUGAGAGGGUGGACGGCCACAAGGGGACUGAGAUACGGCCCUUACUCCUACGGGAGGCAGCAGUGGGGAAUAUUGGACAAUGGGGGCAACCCUGAUCCAGCAAUUCCGUGUGCACGAAGAAGGUUUUCGGAUUGUAAAGUGCUUUCAGCAGGGAAGAAGUAAGUGACGGUACCUGCAGAAGAAGCGACGGCUAAAUGCGUG